rnacentral:rRNA from 1 species
CCUACGGGAGGCUGCAGUGGGGAAUAUUGCACAAUGGGCGCAAGCCUGAUGCAGCCAUGCCGCGUGUGUGAAGAAGGCCUUCGGGUUGUAAAGCACUUUCAGCGGGGAGGAAGGCGUUAAGGUUAAUAACCUUGGCGAUUGACGUUACCCGCAGAAGAAGCACCGGCUAACUCCGUGCCCGCAGCCGCGGUAAUACGGAGGGUGCAAGCGUUAAUCGGAAUUACUGGGCGUAAAGCGCACACAGGCGGUCUGGCAAGUCGGAUGUGAAAUCCCCGGGCUCAACCUGGGAACUGCAUUCGAAACUGGCAGGCUAGAGGCUUGUAGAGGGGGGUAGAAUUCCAGGUGUAGCGGUGAAAUGCGUAGAGAUCUGGAGGAAUACCGGUGGCGAAGGCGGCCCCCUGGACAAAGACUGACGCUCAGGUGCGAAAGCGUGGGGAGCAAACAGGAUUAGAUACCCGAGUAGUC